GGGGUUAUGGCUCAGUGAUACAGCACUCGCCUAGCACAUGUGAGGCACUGGGUUCAAUCCUCAGCACCCCA
rnacentral:tRNA from 1 species